AAUGAGCGUUGGCGGCGUGGAUUAGGCAUGCAAGUCGAGCGAUAACCGUAGCAAUACGGGGACAGCGGCGAAAGGGAGAGUAACGCGUGGAUAAUCUACCCUCGGGACUGGGAUAGCCGCGGGAAACUGCGGGUAAUACCGGAUAAUGUCUUCGGACCAAAGGUGCGAUUCCGCCCGGGGAUGAGUCCGCGUCCUAUUAGCUAGUUGGUGGGGUAAUGGCCUACCAAGGCGAAGAUGGGUACGGGGUGUGAGAGCAUGCCCCCGCUCACUGGGACUGAGACACUGCCCAGACACCUACGGGUGGCUGCAGUCGAGAAUCUUCGGCAAUGGGCGCAAGCCUGACCGAGCGACGCCGCGUGCGGGAUGAAGGCCUUCGGGUUGUAAACCGCUGUCGGAGGGGAGGAAAUGCACGGGGGUUCUCCCUCGUGUUUGACCUAGCCUCAGAGGAAGGACGGGCUAAGUUCGUGCCAGCAGCCGCAGUAA
rnacentral:rRNA from 1 species